GGGCCUGUAGCUCAGCUGGCUAGAGCACCUGCUUUGCAAGCAGGGGGUCAAGGGUUCGAAUCCCUUCAGGUCCA
rnacentral:tRNA from 1 species